rnacentral:lncRNA from 1 species
AGGGGAGACCCUGACAUGUGGGGAAGCACUUGGGGAGAUUAUUUCCCACAUGCUCUUCUCCACUGUUCAGUAAUAACCCCCCCCCCCCCACACACACAGUGGCUGAAACCGCUUGUCCCAAGCGGGGUUGCGGUGAGCCGGAGCCCAACCCGGCAACACAGGGCGCAAGCCUGGAGGGGGGAGGGAACACAAUCAGGACGGGACGCCAGUCUGUCGCAAGGCACCCCAAGCAGGGCUCAAACCCCAGACCAGCCAGAGAGCGUGAGCCGACCAAAUCCGCUGCGCCGCCAACCAGAACCGCUGCGCCACCGCGCCCCCUUCGAUAAUAACCUCAACAGACUGCUGAAGCUAUUUAUCACUGUUGCGAGACCCCAAGACCCUCUGCUUUCCUCCUACGUGCAUCCAGAGCCAUUACAUUAUGAGCCAUGUCUAAUUUCCUGGUCUGUGCGAUGCCUCUGUACGGUACAACCUGGCGAGACCUUCCACAAGCUCUUUGCCCUUUUACUGCAGGACUUGAUUUCAAAGUGUUUCUGCGGCUCCGAUACCUUCCGGCUGCUAAAGACAUCAACUCCAGCGUUCGGCCCGAUAGCAGACUGUGUUGGAGGCACCUCUGGCGGUUUGUGGAGGACAGCUGGAUACACCAUUGUCGCUGUGCUGUAUAUCCAAACAUUUACCACUCCCCACCCCCACUCUUACUCUCCCUGUGUUGACAGAACAAACUGAGCUAAAAGGCUUCUGUCUAUGUCAAAAUAACAGCGGGGCCCAGCCGAACGUUUCAGAAGCACUCGGGAAUCGUACAGUUCUUUUGCACGAGGACAAACGCUCGGUUGACGUGAGGAGCACAUCGAGGACACGCUGACCGCAACCCAUUGCAGCCAUCAGGGGCCGCAGGGUCUGCAGGUCAUCCCACUGUCCUAGUGCUUAACUGACCAUUCAGCGCCACUGCUUGGGGAUAAAAUGACAUCAACUUUUUUGAAGGUGAAAAUUUCCCAGUUGGCGAAGGAAUCAUACCCGUGAGACCGGUGGUUUUGCUUCUUAGCCCGCAGAGAAAUUUCGUCAAAUGGCCGACAGCCGAGAGCCAUCGAGAAGCUCACGGCAACGCGGCUCGCGGCGGGUCUGACCGGACAGCCCGGACCCGUAGCAAGACCAAGGGCUGCACCGACCCGGCAUUGACUCACGCACGUCCAGGAAAGGGCACAAAUCAAAAGUGGUCUCAUUCCGUCCGCUUCUUUCUACAAGAUCUUGCAAAGCAGCAUACCGCCACAGUCAGCAAUAGUGCCAUAACUUGUGCUCGUGUCUGGCCUCUCACGAAAGUUUACUUUUAUUUUCCAGACAUGCCACGGCUCGCGGCUUGCCGAGGACGUUCUCAGUGCUGGCAAAAACAAUAUAUCUAGAAGAAGAUAAACUGUUUACUCAACAUGGACUUCGUCAGAUAAAGAUCCGGUGCGCACAAUGUGCCGUAAACAGAAUAAAACCGACCAGCGUGUCGAGCCA